rnacentral:misc_RNA from 1 species
UUAAGUUCAGCGGGUAUCCCCACCUGAUCCGAGGUCAAACUUUAGGUGCGAGACUGGUGGCAAGCACCGCCACGAGCUCCUGAAGCGAGAGUAAGACUUGCUACGCUUGGAGCCGGACGGUACCGCCAACGGGUUGUAGACGGGUCGCCACGACCGCGUCCAAUACCAAGCGGUGCUUGAUGGUUUAAAUGACGCUCGAA